rnacentral:rRNA from 1 species
AUUCCAGCUCCAAUAGCGUAUAUUAAAGUUGUUGCAGUUAAAAAGCUCGUAGUUGGAUUUCUGGUCUGAUGCCCUGGCCCGCGUCUUAUAGAUGUGUGUGCCGGCUGUGCGUCUGCCAUCCUUCUAGUAACCCUUCCUACCCUUCACUGGGCCGGGUUGGCGAUCUAGAUCUUUUACUCUGAAAAAAUUAGAGUGUUCAAAGCAAGCUAAAGCUCUGAAUACAUUAGCAUGGAAUAACGCGAGAGGACUCGGUCCUUAUUUUGUUGGUCUUCAAGGAUGGAGUAAUGAUUAAGAGGGACAGUUGGGGGCAUUCGUAUUUCAUUGCUAGAGGUGAAAUUCUUGGAUUUAUGAAAGACGAACUUCUGCGAAAGCAUUUGCCAAGGAUGUUUUCAUUA